AAUCUGAGAAUGGUUCUCUCCAACAAGAUCGACAGGAACUCAGUAAAUCACCCUUCUUCUUCUUCCAUGCUUAGCCCUCCACCUUACUCUGUCUAUAACAGCUUCAACCAGAGAGAACUCACCUCCAGUCAACACUCCGUUCCUCUCUCACUGCCCAGACGACCUCUCUAAGGUGUCUUCCUUUGAGCUUCACCGUCUGCAACUAGCUCAAAACUCUCUGAAAAACCCUCUCUAGCAGCCUUCCCCUCUCUCAACUCUCAAGCUCUCCAGAAUCUCUCUGUUUUUUUUUCUUUCUUU
rnacentral:lncRNA from 1 species